GAGGGGCGGAGGACUGCAGGUUGGGGCCUCCCUGCUCUGUCCCUGAGGGGACUCCUAGGCUGAUUUGGCCACCGGGAAGUGGGAGAAAGUCUUCGUGUUGCUAAAAAUAAAAAACAACGACCUUCCUCCUCCCCAGCGGUUGCAGUCUCCAGGCCUGGCUGUAUGGUGAGACGUCUGAACACGCACAGGAUGCCAAGCCUUCCAGAUGAAGAAUGGAUCACAGUGCCAACCAUGUGGACGUGGAUCUCCCCCAGAUGGGCUUUGGCACAUCUCCCCCAUCUGUAGUAUUUCCUUCAUCCAGGUGUUCACUUGGCAAGAGACUCCUAAUCCAGAAACCGUUCCAGCACGGGGAUAAGUUUUUCUAAGCAGCAAAUGACUACAAACACAUCUGCAUUGACAAGUCACAACUUAUAUCCUUCUAUGGUGUUUCUGCUCUUUUGAAAAUGUUAAUAAAAACUUAAUGUGGAAAAAAAACAACUUUUUCCAAAUAUGUGUACCAAUAAGCCUGAGGCAACUCAUACUUUCUUAUAAAAUAAAGUAGGUCACUCACAUCAAUCAUGUUGUCUUAGCACAUUUUUUCCAAAUUAGGAAUUCUCAAUCCAUCAUACAACAUUAUGGCAUCCCUUUUCCAAACAUUUCCUUUUAAUAUGCUCUUUAACAUGAUAAGCAAAUCUAAUAGAAUACAUUAGUGUCACUUCUCAGUGAUGGAGCGUUUCCUCCUGUUGCAAUUCACGAUGAGUUCAGG
rnacentral:lncRNA from 1 species